rnacentral:tRNA from 1 species
ACCCCCGUGGCCCAGCCUGGAUAGAGCGCCCGGCUCCGGACCGGGAGGUCGCAGGUUCAAGUCCUGUCGGGGGUGCCU